CUCCUCUCAGGAUCGCACCUGGAGAGUUUCCAGUACUCUACCAGUCUCGGCAACAGGAGGAAGAGUCAAGAUGAGGCCUACCCAUUCCAUUCCUAGCUUGGCCAGUGGCUAGUGAGUGGAAGACAAUCUGCUACAAGU